GUAAAAAUUCUCUAUUCUAAAAGCAGCUACUCUAACAAUAAGAAAGCUUAAGUUAGCUCAUGGCCGCUGCAUUAGAGUGAACAAAACAGGUGAGCUGCUUUCGAGUAUACUAAUAAAUUUCGACUCGUCACGUUUCUCUUCUGCUGAUAUUUCCCGAAAAUGGCGAGCACAAGUACCGCCAGCACGAGUCAAAGCGAAAUCGCGCUGAAAACAUGGGAGCUGAGUAACAACAUUGAAAGCGUGAACACGAUGGACGAAGUGUACCGCUACGACGAAAACCAGCAGAAAGACAUCCAGUCAGCCAAACCAUGGGAUAAAGACGUUUACUUCUUCAAAGACAUCCGCAUCUCAGCUCUAGCACUGCUGAAAAUGGUGAUGCACGCCCGUUCCGGAGGCACCCUCGAGGUGAUGGGUCUACUCGUCGGCAAGGUGGACGGCAACACGAUGGUGGUGAUGGACUCGUUCGCCCUGCCGGUGGAAGGCACAGAAACCAGGGUCAACGCGCAGGCCCAGGCCUACGAGUACAUGACCCAGUACAUGGAGUCGGCAAAGAAGGUGGGCCGGCUGGAGAACGCCAUCGGCUGGUACCACAGCCACCCUGGCUACGGCUGCUGGCUCAGCGGCAUUGACGUCUCCACGCAAAUGCUCAACCAGAAUUUCCAGGAGCCAUUUGUCGCGAUUGUGAUCGAUCCGGUGAGGACCAUUUCAGCUGGCAAAGUCAACCUGGCCGCCUUCAGGACUUACCCCAAGGGUUACAAGGCUGCCAAUGACGAGCCCUCAGAGUACCAGACCAUCCCCCUGAACAAGAUUGAAGAUUUUGGUGUGCACUGCAAGCAGUAUUACGCGCUGGACGUAACUUAUUUCAAGUCGAGUCUGGACAGGAAGCUGCUCGAUUCACUGUGGAACCGCUACUGGGUCAACACACUUGGUUCCUCAUCUCUUCUCACUAACGCUGACUACACAACAGGCCAAAUCUUUGAUCUGUCGGAUAAGCUGGAGCAGGCGGAGAACGCGCUCGGAAGGAGCAGUUACAUGAUGUUGGAUCCGCACGACAAGCGGACCGAGGACAAACUGUCCAAGGCGACCAAGGACAGCUGCAAGACGUCCAUCGAGGUCAUCCACGGCCUCGUGGCGCAGGUCAUCAAGGACAGGCUGUUUAACUACCCCAGCAACUCUUGCAACCCAAACCAAAACAAGGCUUGAAUUAAAAUGCGUAUUUCCCGCAUUUAAGGCACUUCAUGGACUUGCCCACCUGGGAAUCAAAGCUUCUGUGCGGCUGGUAUCGCAACGUUUCGUCUGGCCUGGCCUCAGGAAGAACGUCAUUGCCUGGACUCGGGCCUGCAAAGACUGCCAACUCUCUAAGGUCUCUCGGCACGUAACGACUCCGUGGCAGACUCACCCCCUCCCUGAAGCUCGAUUCGCAGUUCUCAACCUGGACUUGAUUGGCCCACUCCCACCAGCUAACGGAUACAAAUACUGCCUAACCAUCGUGGACCGCUUCACUCGUUGGUGUGAGGCAAUACCUUAAGAAGACGCAACCGCUGACCACACGAUAGCUUGCCACUCGUCCUUCAUGGUCUCCGCUGCCUCUACAAGGAAGACAUUAAAGCGACCCCUGCAGAACUCGUCUACGGUGAACCCCUGCGUCUGCCUGGCGAAUUUCUUGCAAAAACCGAUUUCGAUGACAUCAGCGCCUCUGAGCUGCUGCGUCAGCUUCGGCAAAACUUCUCCACACUCCGCCCCGUUCCUGCUGCUCACCACGCUAAAGCCAAAGUCUUCAUCUUCAAAGACUUGGACACCGCACCCAUGGUCUACCUUAGAACAGACGCGGUUCGGACAUCGCUACAGCCUCCGUACACUGGCCCGUACGAGGUGCUGGCGAAGACCGAGAAAACUUUUACUCUUCGGAUCAAAGAGAAGGAAGUCGUGGUCUCUAAGGAUCGCCUCAAACCCGCAUACAGUCUGCCUGACGACACACCAACCGUCCACACUCAGAGACCAUCUCGGCAGACUCAGCCACGGUUACCUCCACCGUUACCUCCACCGCCACUUCCACGUCCUGAGGUUGUAAUCAGAUCAGGUCGGCGUGUACGAUUUUUGGACCGUUAUCAAGCGUGACAUCCUGUCUAAAACAAGUUCUAAACUUUGUACCCUUUCUCUUUAUAUUGGAUAAAGGAGGUAAGCUAGCAUCGAGUGUGCACGCAAAGAAUCUGUCUCUGCUGUAUUCCUGCCUCCGGGCGUUGUUUCAGGUUUUGGGCCGGCGAGCCCACUGGCAAAGCUUCUUUGUCGCCCCCGCCGACCUUGUCGCGCGGAGGCGUCCCUGAAUACUGCCCAGUUGAUUGGAAAAUAGCUAAAUUAGUUUUCCCAUUGACGUAAGCCCAAUCACUGGAGGAAUUUCUAAAGAGCUGGUUACGUAGAAGUGACGAGGAUUCCAUAAAAACCCCUAGGGAGCAGCGCUGAAUUUCGACUACCACCUGGACCAUUUCAAAUGCUAGAGAUGCCACCCUCUUUAUGCUUUUAUUGUGACAAAGCCGGCCGCAAGAACGCCGUAUUUAUCAGAUGCAACGAUUGCCUGCUGGAAUUUCACAGAACGAUCCUCCUCAAAUACACAAAAAUGAGCGAGAAAGAGGUUAACGAUUACAAAAAGAAGAAUAAUUUUAGCUGCUGGCCCUGCUCUUUGCCAAUGAUGAAUGAUUCCUUCUGGAGCGUUCCCGAGCCGCUGCGUCCAACUCGAGCGAGUAGUUCCCAGCAGCAUCAAAACAAUAAAAAAUCAGCUGCAAUUUUGUGCUUUAACGCGCGGUCACUAAAAAACAGGAAAAGAGCUGCUGACAUUGCUGGUCUUCUCGAGUGUCAUCCUGCGGACGUUCUAGCUAUUAUAACGAGACAUGGUUGUCGCCUGAUAUCUUUGACCACGAGGUGAUCCCGACAGACUACGUUGUGAUGCGAAAGGACUGAACUGGCGGCCGUAGACCAGCAGGCGGUGUCCUGCUGGCCAUUCUUCCACACCUUCUGCGGCGCCGACAGACACAGCUCGGGACCACUGCUGAGGCCGUUUGGGGCGAGGUGACGGUCUCGAAUUUGCGUUUCCUCAUCGCCUCGGUGUACAGAGCACCAAACAGAACGCCGGAGCAAAACGAUGAGCUGCUUCGCUCGCUUGCGCUGGCCGCCGAGCAGCAGCACAAUUAAGACGAGUGCUUUGUCAUGGGCGAUUUCAAUUUGGACGUAGACUGGAACACUGAGACGCCGCUGCCGAGAGCUGCACCUGCUGAACAAUUCGUCGACGCCUUUGAUAAUUUCGCCUUUGCGCAGCUGAUAAAAAAACGCAACGAGAACCACGGCCACGAGCGAGAAGACCAUCGACUUGUUCCUGUGCGACACGCCGAAUCUAGUCUCCACGAGCGAGGUUAUCGCCGGCGUUAGCGACCACGACGCGUUGUUGAUCGGCCUCAAGGUGGACCCCCGCCGCCCGCCACCUGUGUCUAUGACACUUCCGGACUGGCGGCGCGCCCACUGGCCGGCUCUCAACGACCAACUCGCGGUGAAGCUGCAAGAAGUGACGCAAGAAGAUGACCUCUUUAAAGCCUGGACAGCCUGGAAGACAGCGCUGUUCGAAUGCGUCGAGGAGUGUGUGCCAACCAGAAGGACGCGAUCUAAGAGGAAGCUGCUCCCCUGGCUCGAUAAAAAUUUAAAAAAGUUAAUAAAAAUUAAAGAUGAUCUGUUCGCGCAGUGGAGGAGCGAGAAAACCAAUGAGGCAAGAAGCAUUUUUGAGACGGCGAGAAAGGCGACCCAAGGCGCUGUCAGACUGGCUAAAGACUGUGAUGGUUUUGGAAUCUCGGCCGUGGACCACAAGGGGCAGCUGUGUUCUGGAAAUUCAUUUAUUCUAAAUCAAAAGUGCCGAUUAACACGACUACUUUUUCAGCUGACGGCCGUAUUUUCAGUGAGCCUGCAGCCGUCGCUAGCCAAUUUCUCGCCACUUUCAAGCAGAACUUCUCGCCACUGAUUUUCCGUUCGUGCGCCGCGCGCCCGUCCAAAAUGAGAAGAUGAGCAAGCUGCAUAUCACGGCGAGCGAGGUCAGCGCCUUGCUGCACGUCCUGGACGCCAAAAGUGCCGCAGGACCGGACGGCAUCCCUGCAGUGCUGCUCAAAAACUGCGCUGAGACGAUCUGCCCCAGCCUCGCCCACAUUUUCAACCUUUCGCUGCGGACACGCGACUUGCCGGCCGACUGGAAGGGUGCAGCGGUGACGCCGAUCCCAAAAGAAGGUAACAAAAAUGAUUUCAAUAAUUACCGCCCCAUCAGCGUCACCUCGCUCGUUGGAAAACUCUUGGAGAAGCACGUCCGCAACCAGCUUGCAGCCUUCUUUGAGAGGAUAAAUUCCCUGCCAGACUGCCAGCACGGCUUCCGCGAGCGGCGCUCGUGCACGACAAUGUUGCUGAAAACCCUGGACAACUGGACUGCGGCCCUCGACAGCAACAGCGGGCAACACGUGUAGUGCUUUGCGCGGGUCGCGGGUUUGAGGGUUGAACCCGCAAAACCCGCACCAAACCCACGGGUGCGGGUCAAGAUUUUGCAAAUCCAAUAUGGCGGAUUGCGGGUGCGGGUUGGCGUAGUGCGGUUUGGUGCGGGUUCAAAUUUUGAAAAAAGAUCUGGGUGAGGUUUGGGUGCGGUACGAAAUAAGCGGGUUCGGUCCGGGUUUGGGUUGAAAAUUUGUACCCGCGCUAGGGUUCGGUAUAUCAACCUUGAUAUAUCAAUUUUGAUAUGAUAUUUUAAAUAUCAUAUAUAUGAUAUUUUAAAUAUCAUAUCAAUAGUAUCAUCGUUGAUAUUUUGAAUAUCAGAAAAUAUCAGCUGAUAUUUCUGAAAAAUAUCUGAUAUAUCAUGAUAUUUUGGUGUAAAAUAUCAAUAUCAUCGAAGAUAUUUAGAAUAUCAUAUCAAUAUCAGAUUUUUGAUAUCGUUUUUGGCGCAAGUACCGAUCCCUAACCCGCGCAAAGCACUACCGUGCAGGGCUCUAUUAGUUGUGUCGUCGGUGGUGUCAUUUGUAUGACAAAAAUAAUAAAAAUUAUUUGUAUAAGUAACAUUUUCCCGCUUUUUCCAAGAAACUUUGGUAAUAUUUAAGUAAAUUACUUGGCCAAUAUUUUUAAUAAUAGAAAGAAAAACUGAAAAAAUAUUGAAAAUGCAUGAAAUUGGCACCAGAAAUUAGCCUUCUCAAAACAGUCUAAAUCACCAAAAACCGUCUAAAAAACAGUCUUUUUGAGGGCAAAAAGCGUCUAAAAAUAGUCGACUAUUUUGUACAAAAAAACAGUCUAAGUUUCCCAACCCUAUUUAUGUGUCUAACCUUAUUAAUUAAUUAUUAACCUUAUUAGAUUAAUAUUAAAAUUAUUAUUUUCUAUAUGAAAAGGAGCCUCUGCCAAUAUUCCAGCAGGUAAAGGUGGUAAAUGAAAUUUCAACGGGCUCCUCCUCGGAAGAACUAGAACUAUAGACACGACGGACACGGACAUCGAGGCAGUCACCUCCGUCGCUGCCCAAACUGUGGUCAAGCGCACCAGAGGCAAACCUACUAAAACAACUGCAACUGCUCAGGUUAAGCAGAUGAAAAUGUCGGAAGAAGAUGACCCUGAUGCCCCGCCAGGGUGCAAAUGAGUGACUUGGAAAUUAUACGCGAGCGAAACAUCUCCAUGAGGAAGAACAUGAUCAGAGACAUUGGCCUGCUGGACGCCAAGGAGGGGUUUGAAGAGACCCUGAAGAAGAGGCAGUAGAAUAAAGGCUAGGAAAAUGUUGUUGACGUGGCACUUCCUGUCACCAGAGAGAGCAGGUCUCUUCGGCAAACAGAGGCUGCCGCCGCCGCCACCGAGUCUCCUGCCACUUUGAAGAGCAAGGAUUUGCUAGGCGAAACUCAAUCCCUGAACCAAUGCCUGGCUGCCUUCUCCAAUUUGAAAGACCUGCAGAUGUUUAUCGAGACGGCGCAAUCGAUUGAAAAAGCCUCAUUUGCUGGAGACGUGGGCGAUUCAGAGCUGUCCUCCAUGCAAUUUCCCAUGAUGAAGUCGAGGCUGUGCACACUGCUCGAGACGGAGUUCUGCCUGCCCGAAAUCGCGUCCAGAUUCACCUCACUCGCCUUCCAUCUUUCCCGCUCUCCGCUGCUGCUGGCCGCGGAGGCAACAUAAGAUGGCUGCGUCUGCCUGUGGAGCUUUUGCCGAGAGAGCCUAGCAUGCUCGACAACCAGCUCUGAGCGUUUUUACUUGAACCAUAUAAUUUUAAAAUUGAAUUAAAUUUCCUGACCAAAACUAUAAAUACGAAUUUUCAGUUACAGUAAUUUUAUUUGAAUUAUUCUGUAACUAAAUAUUUUUGUUACCUAAUUAUUCUAAAAUUUCAAUAAUUAAAUUCUUUCGAGCAAAAUUGAAAUGUUAAAUUACCAAAUUUAAAAUUCUGCGAAUGAUAUAAGUUGGUAAAUCACAACUAACCAAGCCUGAUAUCAACAUGCCUUACAAGCUAUAGAUAAACAAGCAGCAAAAUUAUUCAAAUUGAAAAAUUUGGCCAGAUUUUUUUUUAGUUUAUUAAGGAAUUUGCUAUCUAGAGUUGUUUGGUAAACAUUUCUUCCAGCAUAUAAGCUAAUUGAUUACUUGGUCUAUAGUUAUAUUGUGCUUUAUUCUAAUUUAUGAUAGUAUAUAGGAACCCACUCCUAGAAAUGCAUAUCUGCAAAGUAUGCAAAAGAAAGCGGAGCCAGAACCAAACAUUAUCUGUCGGUGAGAAUCCAAGUCUGUUCAAAUUCCCAAAAAAUGGGGACCUUUUUAAUCUCUGGAGUAGUGCGUUCGCCGGGACGGGAAUGUCUCAGGACUCCCGGAAUCUCCCGGGAAUUCCCGGCGCCAGGAGCCAAAUUUUUAGAAGGGAGUCACGGUCGGGACGGGAGCGGGAAAGUUUUGCCGGGAGCGGAAAUUCCCGGGAACCUAGUCAAAAUUCAAAUUCACAACUCGCUUUUAAUUUUCAUAGAAUGAUUAAAAAAAUUGUUAGGAAUGUUUUUUAUAUUAGAUAUUUUUCACGGUUUGAUAACUUUAUUAACUGUCCUAAUUUCAAUUUGCGGAGUUCAAGCAGUAAUAUUUCUUUUUUGUCAUUCACUAUUACUAAAAAUGUUACAUAAUUUUCUUUCAUUGACAUGUGAUGAUUCUCGCAAUUAAAAAAAGUCGGGAGAAUAGUUUUUGAUCUAAAUAAAAUGCAUUUUUAUGGUUUGUUUUAGUAAUCUAUGCAUUUCUACAAAAAUUGAAUUUUAUUUGGAACGUAGUAUUUAUUUAACGUGGCCCAGUAAAAAUUGCCUCCUUGAGUUUUUAUACUUUCAACCCAAAGUAUUAUUUAUAACUUCAACAAGGAAAAAUAAAAGAGCAUAAUAUAGUGAGUUUGUAUUUGUAAAUAUGCGAGCUAAGAAUAAAGUUAUCAACGCA